rfam:Malassezia pachydermatis strain CBS 1879 scaffold3, whole genome shotgun sequence.
GCACCUUCGGGUAGCAUACGAAAAAAUUGGAACGAUACAGAGAAGAUUAGCAUGGUCCCUGCAGUAAGGAUGACAAUCAUGAUCAGAAAAGGGUGUCUCUUAUGA